UACAGAGGGUGCGAGCGUUAAUCGGAAUUACUGGGCGUAAAGCGUGCGUAGACGGUUACAUAAGUCGGGUGUGAAAGCCCCGGGCUCAACCUGGGAAUUGCAUUCGAGACUGCGUAGCUAGGGUGCGGAAGAGGGAAGCGGAAUUUCCGGUGUAGCGGUGAAAUGCGUAGAUAUCGGAAGGAACACCAGUGGCGAAAGCGGCUCCUGGUCCAGCACCGACGUCAGGCACGAAAGCGUGGGGAGCAAACAGGG
rnacentral:rRNA from 1 species